rnacentral:other from 1 species
UGUAAGCUGCUAUGUGCGUAUGAUUAAUUAAGUUUUAACCUUUAAGCUGUAAAAGGGAGUUUUAUAUCGAAGCUGAAUUGAUAAGUCCCUGUCUAAAGGACUUGGGGAACGAGCAUGAAGGUUUCUGCAAACACCCACUUUGAGGAGUGGUGGUUUAAAACUUUCUUAUAUAAUGUACGGCAUUUGCGGCUGCUAA